rnacentral:rRNA from 1 species
CACGUAGUUAGCCGGGGCUUUCUGGUUAGGUACCGUCAAGGUACCGCCCUAUUUGAACGGUACUUGUUCUUCCCUAACAACAGAGUUUUACGAUCCGAAAACCUUCAUCACUCACGCGGCGUUGCUCCGUCAGACUUUCGUCCAUUGCGGAAGAUUCCCUACUGCUGCCUCCCGUAGGAGUCUGGGCCGUGUCUCAGUCCCAGUGUGGCCGAUCACCCUCUCAGGUCGGCUACGCAUCGUUGCCUUGGUAAGCUUUUAUCCCACCAACUAGCUAAUGCGCCACGGGCCCAUCUGUAAGUGAUAGCCGAAGCCAUCUUUCAUCUUCCUAUCAGGUGAUAAGAAGCUUUAUUCGGUAUUAGCUCACGUUUCCGCAAGUUAUCCCAAUCUUACAGGCAGGUUGCCCACGUGUUACUCACCCAUCCGCCGCUCGUUCCACAAACGUCCACCCGAAGGCUUCAGUUUGCUUCCCGCGCUCGACUUGCAUGUAUUAGGCACGCCGCCAGCCGUUCGUCCUGACGCCUAC